UAGCUUAGUCAUCUAUGAUAUACAUGCUUUGCAGGAAAGAUUUUACUUUGGGGAUGACAUCUUGCCCUGCUUUGAAACUGGGAUCCCAUUACUGUUGAACCGUCUUCAUGAGCUUCCUGAUGCUGAAAAUAUAACUAUAGCAUUCCCAGAUGACGGGGCAUGGAAGCGAUUUCAUAAGCAGUUGCAACAUUUUCCCAUGGUUGUUUGUGCCAAAGUUCGCGAAGGUGAUAAGAGGAUAGUUCG
rnacentral:misc_RNA from 1 species